GCCUACAUGAAGCCGGAAUUGCUAGUAAUGGCAGGUCAGCAUACUGCCGUGAAUACGUUCCCGGGCCUUGUACACACCGCCCGUCACACCAUGAGAGUUGGGGAUACCCGAAGCCUGUGAGCCAACUGUAAAGAGGCAGCAGUCGAAGGUAGAAUCAAUGAUUGGGGUGAAGUCGUAACAAGGUAAC
rnacentral:rRNA from 1 species